rnacentral:rRNA from 2 species
GCGUAAGCGCGCGUAGGCGGUUUUUUAAGUCUGAUGUGAAAGCCCACGGCUCAACCGUGGAGGGUCAUUGGAAACUGGAAAACUUGAGUGCAGAAGAGGAAAGUGGAAUUCCAUGUGUAGCGGUGAAAUGCGCAGAGAUAUGGAGGAACACCAGUGGCGAAGGCGACUUUCUGGUCUGUAACUGACGCUGAUGUGCGAAAGCGUGGGGAUCAAACAGGAUUAGAUACCCUGGUAGUCCACGCCGUAAACGAUGAGUGCUAAGUGUUAGGGGGUUUCCGCCCCUUAGUGCUGCAGCUAACGCAUUAAGCACUCCGCCUGGGGAGUACGACCGCAAGGUUGAAACUCAGAGGAAUUGACGGGGACCCGCACAAGCGGUGGAGCAUGUGGUUUAAUUCGAAGCAACGCGAAGAACCUUACCAAAUCUUGACAUCCUCUGAUCCCUCUAGAGAUAGAGUUUUCCCCUUCGGGGGACAGAGUGACAGGUGGUGCAUGGUUGU